GGCUCUGGGAGGUAGUGACGAUAAAUAACGAUGCGGGACUCAUCCGAGGCCUCGCAAUCGGAAUGAGACCAGUCUAAACCUUUGGACGAGGAUCCAUUGGAGGGCAAGUCUGGUGCCAGCAGCCGCGGUAAUUCCAGCUCCAAUAGCGUAUAUUAAAGUUGCUGCGGUUAAAAAGCUCGUAGUUUGACUUUAGACUCGUACCGGGGGCCCACCCAAGGGGAGUACCUCGCGGAGACCUCUUAAAACGCGUUGGUGUUAGGUCGCUAGCGAAGAUUUAAAGCCCGUGGUCGGUUGGAUUCCGUUACUAACUACCUAUUAGUCCGGCGUCGAUGACGUUUUGAUGUUUUAGUUUAGCGUCGCGAUCGGGGCUCUGUUCCCUUUCCGCUUCCUAUCUAUUAUUCUUAACCUCUCUCGCGCGUUGGCAGGUUUUUGUUGGUCUCGGUUCUUAUCGCCUUCCUCGGCCUUCGUUCGGCGCGCCUUAGCUCCUUCGUUCGAGAUGCUUACGAGGCUUCGCUCUCCCGGUGGCAACCCGCUCGGAUACGUGUUUUUAAGAAACCAGUCGGCUCUCGCGUGGGUGCUCUUUACCGAGUGUCUCGCGUGGCCGGCAACGUUCACUUUGAAAAAAUUAGAGUGCUCAAAGCAGGCAGAAUGUCACGCCUGAAUGUAUAUGCUUAGGAUGAAGGAACAGGACCUCGGUUCUGCAUAUUAUUUUUCUCUCGGUUUUUAUCGAACCCGAGGUAAUGAUUAACGGGGGCGGACGGGGGCAUUGGUAUUGCGACGCGAGAGGUGAAAUUCUAAGACCGUCGCAAGACUAACUACUGCGAAAGCAUUUGCCAAGAACGCUUUCAUUAAUCAAGAACGAAAGUUAGAGGAUCGAAGGCGAUCAGAUACCGCCCUAGUUCUAACCUUAAACGAUGCCAACUAGCGAUCCGCCUAAGUCAUUCCCACGACUGGGCGGGCAGCCCCAGGGAAACCAAAGUUUUUGGGUUCCGGGGGAAGUAUGGUUGCAAAGCUGAAACUUAAAGGAAUUGACGGAAGGGCACCACCAGGAGUGGAGCCUGCGGCUUAAUUUGACUCAACACGGGAAAACUCACCAGGCCCGGACACCGGAAGGAUUGACAGAUU
rnacentral:rRNA from 1 species